UUGAACGCUGGCGGCAGGCCUAACACAUGCAAGUCGAGCGGAUGAAGGGAGCUUGCUCCUGGAUUCAGCGGCGGACGGGUGAGUAAUGCCUAGGAAUCUGCCUGGUAGUGGGGGAUAACGUCCGGAAACGGGCGCUAAUACCGCAUACGUCCUGAGGGAGAAAGUGGGGGAUCUUCGGACCUCACGCUAUCAGAUGAGCCUAGGUCGGAUUAGCUAGUUGGUGGGGUAAAGGCCUACCAAGGCGACGAUCCGUAACUGGUCUGAGAGGAUGAUCAGUCACACUGGAACUGAGACACGGUCCAAACUCCUACGGGAGGCAGCAGUGGGGAAUAUUGGACAAAGGGCGAAAGCCUGAUCCAGCCAUGCCGCGUGUGUGAAGAAGGUCUUCGGAUUGUAAAGCACUUUAAGUUGGGAGGAAGGGCAGUAAGUUAAUACCUUGCUGUUUUGACGUUACCAACAGAAUAAGCACCGGCUAACUUCGUG
rnacentral:rRNA from 1 species